rnacentral:rRNA from 1 species
UACGGAGGGGGCUAGCGUUGUUCGGAAUUACUGGGCGUAAAGGGCGCGUAGGCGGCGCGAUAAGUUGGGCGUGAAAGGCCCGGGCUCAACCCGGGGACUGCGCUUGAUACUGUCGCGCUGUGAGUCCGGGAGAGGAUGGCGGAAUUCCCAGUGUAGAGGUGAAAUUCGUAGAUAUUGGGAAGAACACCGGUGGCGAAGGCGGCCAUCUGGACGGUGACUGACGCUGAGACGCGAAAGCGUGGGGAGCAAACAGG